rnacentral:rRNA from 1 species
GACGAACGCUGGCGGCGUGCCUAAUACAUGCAAGUCGAGCGGACCGGAUUGGGGCUUGCCUUGAUUCGGUCAGCGGCGGACGGGUGAGUAACACGUGGGCAACCUGCCCGCAAGACCGGGAUAACUCCGGGAAACCGGAGCUAAUACCGGAUAACACCGAAGACCGCAUGGUCUUCGGUUGAAAGGCGGCCUUUGGGCUGUCACUUGCGGAUGGGCCCGCGGCGCAUUAGCUAGUUGGUGAGGUAACGGCUCACCAAGGCGACGAUGCGUAGCCGGCCUGGGAGGGUGACCGGCCACACUGGGACUGAGACACGGCCCAGACUCCUCCGGGAGGCAGCAGUAGGGAAUCUUCCGCAAUGGGCGAAAGCCUGACGGAGCGACGCCGCGUGAGCGAAGAAGGCCUUCGGGUCGUAAAGCUCUGUUGUGAGGGACGAAGGAGCGUCGUUCGAAGAGGGCGGCGCGGUGACGGUACCUCACGAGAAAGCCCCGGCUAACUACGUG